rnacentral:rRNA from 1 species
AUGUUUGCCUCCCAAUCCAAAUCCCGUGCAAACAAUCUCAGAAUCUCCCUAACCAAUGCCCACAAAGGCUCCCAAUCUGCUGCUGAUUACUUUGGCUAUAUGAGAUCGCUUUCAGAUGAACUUGCUGCUGCAGGGAGGGGCAUCGGAGAAGAAGAGCUGCUCUCCUUCAUCAUUGCAGGGCUAGAUAUGGACUAUCAGCCCAUCAUAUCCGCCCUCGACGUCCGCACCGACCCUGUCUCCGUCGACGAGCUGUUUGCCAUGGUGGCGAACUUCGACCAGCGAGUCGAGCUCUUCCACGGCUCUGGAGCAGGAGGCUUCAAAUCCUCGGCCAACAUGGCUGCGAGAAAUCGAGGUUGCGGCGGCAAGGGCAACAACCGUGGCUCGCCCAAACUCACCAAUGGUGGUGGUGGCGGGUAUCACGGUGGUGGCAGCAACAACAACAGCGGUGGCGGCAACGCCAACAGCAACUACAACCAUGGUGGCGGCGGUCCCUUCUACAACAACAACACUAACCAUGGACGUCCCUUCUACAACAACAAUCAAGGGCGUCAGCGUGGGUACAAUGGUGGCUACUGUGGCAACUAUGGCGGCGGCAACAAUUUUCAAGGGUAUGAUGAGUAUGAGGGAAAAUGUCAAAUUUGUAAAAAAAUAACCACAUAG